CCAAGGCUUGACAUAUACCGAAUCGUUCCAGAGAUGGUUCUUCCCCUUUGGGGUCGGUAUACAGGUGGUGCAUGGUUGUCGUCAGCUCGUGUCGUGAGAUGUUGGGUUAAGUCCCGCAACGAGCGCAACCCUCGUUCCAUGUUGCCAGCACGUGAUGGUGGGGACUCAUGGGAGACUGCCGGGGUCAACUCGGAGGAAGGUGGGGAUGACGUCAAAUCAUCAUGCCCCUUAUGUCUUGGGCUUCACGCAUGCUACAAUGGCCGGUACAAAGGGUUGCGAUACUGUGAGGUGGAGCUAAUCCCAAAAAGCCGGUCUCAGUUCGGAUUGAGGUCUGCAACUCGACCUCAUGAAGUCGGAGUCGCUAGUAAUCGCAGAUCAGCAACGCUGCGGUGAAUACGUUCCCGGGCCUUGUACACACCGCCCGUCAAGUCACGAAAGUCGGUAACACCCGAAGCCGGUGGCCCAACCCUUUGGAGGGAGCCGUCGAAGGUGGGACUGGCGAUUGGGACUAAGUCGUAACAAGGUAGCCAUACCGGAAGGUGCGGCUGGAUCACCUCCUU
rnacentral:rRNA from 1 species